CCUACGGGAGGCAGCAGUGAGGAAUAUUGGACAAUGGGGGGAACCCUGAUCCAGCGACGCCGCGUGAGUGAAGAAGUUUUUCGGUAUGGAAAGCUCUAUCAGCAGGGAAGAAAAUGACGGUACCUGACUACGCAUCCGCGGCUAACUACGUGCCAGCCGCCGCGGGAAUACGUAGGGGGCAAGCGUUAUCCGGAUUUACUGGGUGUAAAGGGAGCGUAGACGGUGCAGCAAGUCUGAUGUGAAAGGUCGGGGCCCAAACCCGGGACUGCAGUGGAAACUGUUGAACUGGAGUACGGGAGAGGUAAGCGGAAUGCGUAGUGUAGCGGUGAAAUGCGUAGAUAUCAGGAGGAACACCAGUGGCGAAGGCGGCUUACCGGACUGUAACUGACGUUGAGGCUCGAAAGCGUGGGGAGCAAACAGGAUUAGAUACCCCUGUAGUC
rnacentral:rRNA from 1 species